UACAGAGGUCCCAAGCGUUUGUUCGGAUUCAUUGGGCGUAAAGGGUGCGUAGGCGGCGCGGUAAGUCGGGUGUGAAAUCUCGGAGCUUAACUCCGAAACUGCAUUCGAUACUGCCGUGCUUGAGGACUGGAGAGGAGACUGGAAUUUACGGUGUAGCGGUGAAAUGCGUAGAUAUCGUAAGGAAGACCAGUGGCGAAGGCGGGUCUCUGGACAGUUCCUGACGCUGAGGCACGAAGGUCAGGGGAGCAAACGGG
rnacentral:rRNA from 1 species